rnacentral:rRNA from 1 species
GCAGGCUGCAACUCGCCUGCAUGAAGUCGGAAUUGCUAGUAAUCGCAGAUCAGCAUGCUGUGGUGAAUACGUUCCCGGGCCUUGUACACACCGCCCGUCACACCAUGGGAGUCGGUAACACCCAAAGUUGGUAGUCUAACCGCAAGGAGGACGCCGCCUAAGGUGGGAUUGAUGACUGGGGUGAAGUCGUAACAAGGUAUC